rnacentral:lncRNA from 1 species
UUCAGUGACAACUUCUGCAUCAUUAGUUCCAGAUGGGGCGAGGUGCCUGGCACGCGGCAGCACAUCUCCUCUGCCCACAGUAACAGCAGGACCCGGAGAGCCAUUUCCAGGAGUAGACGUCGGUAAUGACGACGCAUUUUUUUUUUGGCGUCACCGAAACCACGAGCACCACCCUGUGCUAUGGGCUCCUCAUUCUGCUUAAGUACCUAGAGGUGGCAGGUGUGCAACCCGGAGAGACCCAGAAUGGGAGGCUGCAGUCUGGGGAUGGCUGGAGGGUCCUGGAAGUGCGCAGCUCACAGCCUCCCCCGGCCUGAGCCAAGGUGCAGGAGCUGGACCCUGUGGUAGGGUGGAGGCCCGCCCCAAGCCUGGACUAUCGCGUGUGCCUGCCCUACGCCAACGCAGUGCUGCUCGAGAUCCAGUGCUUCAUCAGCGUGGUGCCCCUGGGGCUGCCGCGCACCCUCACCCUC